GCACCUACCGAAGACUAUCAAACUCCGAAUGCCGUCAUCUUAUACUUGGGAGUCAGACUGUGGGUGAUAAGAUUCAUAGUCGAAAGGGCAACAGCCCAGAUCGUCAGCUAAGGUCCCUAAAUGUAAGUUAAGUGGUAAAGGAUGUGGGAUUGCACAGACAACCAGGAUGUUGGCUUAGAAGCAGCCACUCAUUCAAAGAGUGCGUAAUAGCUCACUGGUCGAGUGAUCCUGCGCCGAAGAUUUCCGGGGCUAAAACUUACUACCGAAGCUACGGCAUCAGUAAUGAUGGGUAGGGGAGCUUCCCAUACGGGUUGAAGCAUGACCGUAAGGACAUGUGGACAGUAUGGGAGUGAGAAUGUUGGCAUGAGUAGCGAGAUGUGGGUGAGAAUCCCACAGGCCGUAAACCCAAGGUUUCCAGGGGAAGGUUCGUCCGCCCUGGGUUAGUCGGGACCUAAGCUGAGGCCGAAAGGCGUAGGUGAUGGACAACAGGUUGAUAUUCCUGUACUACCGAUAACCGUUUGAGAGAAGGGAUGACACAGUAGGAUAAGCUAAGCACACUGUUGGUUAUGUGUGCCCAAGCAUUGAGGCAGUCAAAGUAGGCAAAUCCGCUUUGAUAAUGCUGGGAUGUGAUGGGGAGCGAAAUUUAGUAGCGAAGUAGCUGAUUUCACACUGUCAAGAAAAGUCUCUAUCGAGGUUAAAGGUACCCGUACCGCAAACCGACACAGGUGGGUGAGGAGAGUAUCCUAAGGCCAGCGAGAGAACUGUUGUUAAGGAACUCGGCAAAAUGACCCCGUAACUUAGGGAUAAGGGGUGCCACCAUCAGGUGGCCGCAGAGAAUAGGCCCAAGCGACUGUUUACCAAAAACAUAGGUUUCUGCUAAGUCGCAAGACGAUGUAUAGGAGCUGACGCCUGCCCGGUGCUGGAAGGUUAAGGGGAUCUGUUAGAGCAAUCGAAGCAGUGAACUUAAGCCCCAGUAAACGGCGGCCGUAACUAUAACGGUCCUAAGGUAGCGAAAUUCCUUGUCGGGUAAGUUCCGACCCGCACGAAAGGCGUAACGAUUUGGGCACUGUCUCAACAACAGACUCGGUGAAAUUGUAAUUCCGGUGAAGAUGCCGGAUACCUGCGACAGGACGGAAAGACCCCAUGGAGCUUUACUGUAGCUUGACAUUGGGUCUUGGUACUACAUGUACAGGAUAGGUGGGAGGCUUUGAAACCAGGACGCCAGUUUUGGCGGAGCCAUCCUUGGGAUACCACCCUUGUAGUACUGGGACUCUAACCAUAGGCCAUGAAUCUGGUCUUGGGACACUGUCAGGUGGGCAGUUUGACUGGGGCGGUCGCCUCCCAAAAGGUAACGGAGGCGCUCAAAGGUUCUCUCAGUACGGUCGGAAAUCGUACGUAGAGUGUAAAGGCAAAAGAGAGCUUGAUUGCAAGACAUACAGGUCGAGCAAGGAUGAAAAUCGGACUUAGUGAUCCGGUGGUUCUGCGUGGAAGGGCCAUCGCUCAACGGAUAAAAGCUACCCUGGGGAUAACAGGCUUAUCUCCCCCAAGAGUCCACAUCG
rnacentral:rRNA from 1 species